GAUCAUGGCUCAGAUUGAACGCUGGCGGCAGGCUUAACACAUGCAAGUCGAGCGGGGAAAGGUAGCUUGCUACCUGACCUAGCGGCGGACGGGUGAGUAAUGCUUAGGAAUCUGCCUAUUAGUGGGGGACAACGUUCCGAAAGGAACGCUAAUACCGCAUACGCCCUACGGGGGAAAGCAGGGGAUCUUCGGACCUUGCGCUAAUAGAUGAGCCUAAGUCGGAUUAGCUAGUUGGUGGGGUAAAGGCCUACCAAGG
rnacentral:rRNA from 1 species